UAGUCCCUCGAUUCUACGAGUUUCUGAUUCCCUGCGAUCGUCUCCGUCCGAAGCUCAUAGAAUCCAUGGCCUCCCACGCCGCCGCCGACGACGACCAAACCCUCAGGGCCGAUAAUUUCGUCAAGGCCGUCACCGUUAGGGUUCCGUCGACGCCGCGGAAGCUCCGCGACGACGACGACGACGGCGGCGACUCCACUUGUUGCUCGGCGCGGAGUAGUCGGGCCGAGCUGGCCUCCAAUUUCAAGCGCAGCGUGGCGCCGGCGCGGUUCAUGUUCUACGAGAGCGGGUCGUGGACCAACUUCCCGGGCCGGGUCGUGGAAUUACUCCGGUCGGGUUUCUUUGAGCGCAAGGCGGUGCUCCACUUGGAAAUCGAGGGGUCAACGUACCUGUUUGACUUCGCGCGCAUGCUGCAGAUUGAUUCCGGCACCGGGAGUCAGCGAUCGAUUGCGUGGAUUGACGACAACGGGAAAUGCUUUUUUCCGAGGCGGUUUAUCAGCGACGAGCUGGGCUGUGGCGGGUCGGAUAGUCCGAAGAUUGAAAUCGAGAUCCGGGUCGACGUUUCGGGUCGGAAUUCGGGUAAGAGAAAAAGAGAGGAUGAGGUAGGAGAAGAAGAGAACGAAGUGUCGUCGUUUAAGCGGCAGUCUCAGCCUCAGAGCUCUUCGGAAACUUGGCCGAAUGUGAAACUGUUGAGAGAGGGAGAGAGAGCUUACACGGCGGUGAGCAAUUUCUUUCUCAAAGGGAUUAGAAGAAUCGAUUCUGCGGCUACGAUCAGUGCCAUUCGUCAGUGUGUUCGCUCUGGGCCGUUGGAUAAGGCUCGCUUGGAGGUCUUUCAGAAGCAAAUUGAAAUCACCAAGGCAGCUCGGGGCUUGGCGAAUGUGGUCCACGCUUGGUACGGCGCGUCGUCUAGAGAUAUACAGGGGAUUUUGACUCAUGGGUUUGGCUUGCCCAGCAAGGUUUCUGGGUCUCAUGGUGUUGGUCUCUACCUAUCUCAUUUAUCUUUACCUUUUAGUAGUGGGCUCUUACAGCCCGAUGAUAAUGGCGAAAAACAUGUUCUUUUGUGCCGAGUUAUAUUAGGCAAUGUUGAGAAAGUUGAGGCAGGGUCUCAGCAAUGCUACCCUUCUAGUAUGGAAUUCGAUACUGGUGUGGAUGAUCCUAGGACUCCUACGCGGUAUGUGGUAUGGUCCACUAAUAUGAAUAGGCAUGUUCUGCCCGAGUGUGUUGUGAGCUAUAAACCUUCUGAUCAUGUGCCGGGUUCUCUGCCUAGAAAGUACCAUGUUUCGGAAUUGAUUUCGAGGGUCAGGAAUUCCCUACCCCCUUCAAAAGUUCAGCAAUUGUCGAAUCUGGUAAAUGGUUUAAAGGCUGGGAAGUUAGCAAGAAAUGAUUUCUGCAGACAGUUUCGAUUAGUUGUUGGGGAGCAGUUGCUGCGUUCUGCAAUUCCUGAGAUGCGUGGCUCGGAACAAGACAUAGGGGACUUGUGUUCAUACAGUUGCUGGGUAACCCUUCUACAAAUAUAUAGCAUACUGUACCAUGUCAGUGCCAGCUGCUAUGGAUAUACCUUGAAGUUCUCAUGUGCAGGAUACGAUCAUUGAAGUUUUUGUGAUGGCAUGUUCUCUUCAGUAUGAGUACACUCUUUCAUCAGGAAGUACUUAUUUUGCAGUUGUUGUUGUUGUAGGAUGGUGGUGAAAAUUGACUGCGCAUAAAAGGAAACCAAAUGGGCAGGGUGCCUGGUUUGCAGUACUUAAAUGCUUUGGUUCUAUAUCGCUGAAUACAUUGGAAGCCAUUAGACAACGUAUGGCUCUGUCAGAGAUGAGGUAUGAUGUUACAUCAGUUCUCUAACAUUGAAACUAUUCUUGGUGGAGCACUUUGCAGUUGCUGAGCAUGUACUGCAUUAAGGUACAUUGUUUGUUGUAUGCCCUUGGAUCUUUGAUGUUGAAGUUUGCUUUUACACAGAAAUGGUGUGUAAAAUCUCGGGGUCUGUUUAGCCAUCAUUGAAGGUUUAUCGCUUUUGAGCUUGUAAGUCGAGGAUAAGGUCAUUGUGAAGUUCAUGAACUUUUGUGGACUGGAUAUUUUGAAGGACUCUUAAGGAAGUGCUGUGAAAUGUGAGUCUCUGACUGCUAUCAGAUGAGGGUAACAGAGUUAUGUUAGAUAGAGAUAGAGGGAGUACUCUGAGUAACCUUGAAUAAGAACUGUCAAAUACUUGUUGGUGAGCUCUGGACCGAUCAAGCAAUAGAUAACUGUAAUUUUGUUGAUACUUAAACUUAAUGACUAGAAUAUGACUAGUUUUCUUAUGCGACAUAUUGUGGGCAUAAAAGUCACCUUAGAGAGAGAUCAUAGUUGCUACACGAAGUAAUAAGGCUCAGGUUUGUUGACGUACCUGUAAAUACUGGAUCAUAAAUUUAGAGGAUGGAACUUUUUGUUAUUCA